CACCAAUUGGCCAAAGUCGAGCGGGUAGCACAGAGAGCUUGCUCUCGGGUGACGAGCGGCGGACGGGUGAGUAAUGUCUGGGAAACUGCCUGAUGGAGGGGGAUAACUACUGGAAACGGUAGCUAAUACCGCAUAACGUCGCAAGACCAAAGUGGGGGACCUUCGGGCCUCAUGCCAUCAGAUGUGCCCAGAUGGGAUUAGCUAGUAGGUGGGGUAACGGCUCACCUAGGCGACGAUCCCUAGCUGGUCUGAGAGGAUGACCAGCCACACUGGAACUGAGACACGGUCCAGACUCCUACGGGAGGCAGCAGUGGGGAAUAUUGCACAAUGGGCGCAAGCCUGAUGCAGCCAUGCCGCGUGUGUGAAGAAGGCCUUCGGGUUGUAAAGCACUUUCAGCGGGGAGGAAGGCGAUAAGGUUAAUAACCUUGUCGAUUGACGUUACCCGCAGAAGAAGCACCGGCUAACUCCGUGCCAGCAGCCGCGGUAAUACGGAGGGUGCAAGCGUUAAUCGGAAUUACUGGGCGUAAAGCGCACGCAGGCGGUCUGUCAAGUCGGAUGUGAAAUCCCCGGGCUCAACCUGGGAACUGCAUUCGAAACUGGCAGGCUAGAGUCUUGUAGAGGGGGGUAGAAUUCCAGGUGUAGCGGUGAAAUGCGUAGAGAUCUGGAGGAAUACCGGUGGCGAAGGCGGCCCCCUGGACAAAGACUGACGCUCAGGUGCGAAAGCGUGGGGAGCAAACAGGAUUAGAUACCCUGGUAGUCCACGCCGUAAACGAUGUCGAUUUGGAGGUUGUGCCCUUGAGGCGUGGCUUCCGGAGCUAACGCGUUAAAUCGACCGCCUGGGGAGUACGGCCGCAAGGUUAAAACUCAAAUGAAUUGACGGGGGCCCGCACAAGCGGUGGAGCAUGUGGUUUAAUUCGAUGCAACGCGAAGAACCUUACCUGGUCUUGACAUCCACAGAACUUUCCAGAGAUGGAUUGGUGCCUUCGGGAACUGUGAGACAGGUGCUGCAUGGCUGUCGUCAGCUCGUGUUGUGAAAUGUUGGGUUAAGUCCCGCAACGAGCGCAACCCUUAUCCUUUGUUGCCAGCGGUUCGGCCGGGAACUCAAAGGAGACUGCCAGUGAUAAACUGGAGGAAGGUGGGGAUGACGUCAAGUCAUCAUGGCCCUUACGACCAGGGCUACACACGUGCUACAAUGGCAUAUACAAAGAGAAGCGACCUCGCGAGAGCAAGCGGACCUCAUAAAGUAUGUCGUAGUCCGGAUUGGAGUCUGCAACUCGACUCCAUGAAGUCGGAAUCGCUAGUAAUCGUAGAUCAGAAUGCUACGGUGAAUACGUUCCCGGGCCUUGUACACACCGCCCGUCACACCAUGGGAGUGGGUUGCAAAAGAAGUAGGUAGCUUAACCUUUCGGGGAGGGGCCGCUUAACCCCA
rnacentral:rRNA from 1 species